UACAGAGAUUGCAAGCGUUAUUCGGAUUCACUGGGCGUAAAGGGUGCGCAGGCGGCCAAGUGUGUGAGGCGUGAAAGCCCGGGGCUUAACCCCGGAAUUGCACCUCAAACUACAUGGCUAGAGCAUUGGAGAGGGUAGCAGAAUUCAUGGUGUAGCAGUGAAAUGCGUAGAUAUCAUGAGGAAUACCAGAGGCGAAGGCGGCUACCUGGACAAUUGCUGACGCUCAGGCACGAAAGCGUGGGGAGCAAAAGGG
rnacentral:rRNA from 1 species